GGGUUGUGAGGUUAAGCGACUAAGCGUACACGGUGGAUGCCCUGGCAGUCAGAGGCGAUGAAGGGCGUGCUAAUCUGCGAUAAGCGCCGGUAAGGUGAUAUGAACCGUUAUAACCGGCGAUACCCGAAUGGGGAAACCCAGUGUGACUCGUCACACUAUCAUUAACUGAAUCCAUAGGUUAAUGAGGCGAACCGGGGGAACUGAAACAUCUAAGUACCCCGAGGAAAAGAAAUCAACCGAGAUUCCCCCAGUAGCGGCGAGCGAACGGGGAGGAGCCCAGAGCCUGAAUCAGCAUGUGUGUUAGUGGAAGCGUCUGGAAAGGCGCGCGAUACAGGGUGACAGCCCCGUACACAAAAGCGCAUGUGCUGUGAGCUCGAUGAGUAGGGCGGGACACGUGGUAUCCUGUCUGAAUAUGGGGGGACCAUCCUCCAAGGCUAAAUACUCCUGACUGACCGAUAGUGAACCAGUACCGUGAGGGAAAGGCGAAAAGAACCCCGGCGAGGGGAGUGAAAAAGAACCUGAAACCGUGUACGUACAAGCAGUGGGAGCNNNNNNNNNNNNNNGGGCGUUAAGUUGCAGGGUAUAGACCCGAAACCCGGUGAUCUAGCCAUGGGCAGGUUGAAGGUUGGGUAACACUAACUGGAGGACCGAACCGACUAAUGUUGAAAAAUUAGCGGAUGACCUGUGGCUGGGGGUGAAAGGCCAAUCAAACCGGGAGAUAGCUGGUUCUCCCCGAAAGCUAUUUAGGUAGCGCCUCGUGAAUUCAUCUCCGGGGGUAGAGCACUGUUUCGGCUAGGGGGCCAUCCCGGCUUACCAACCCGAUGCAAACUGCGAAUACCGGAGAAUGUUAUCACGGGAGACACACGGCGGGUGCUAACGUCCGUCGUGAAGAGGGAAACAACCCAGACCGCCAGCUAAGGUCCCAAAGUCAUGGUUAAGUGGGAAACGAUGUGGGAAGGCCCAGACAGCCAGGAUGUUGGCUUAGAAGCAGCCAUCAUUUAAAGAAAGCGUAAUAGCUCACUGGUCGAGUCGGCCUGCGCGGAAGAUGUAACGGGGCUAAACCAUGCACCGAAGCUGCGGCAGCGANNUGCUGGAGGUAUCAGAAGUGCGAAUGCUGACAUAAGUAACGAUAAAGCGGGUGAAAAGCCCGCUCGCCGGAAGACCAAGGGUUCCUGUCCAACGUUAAUCGGGGCAGGGUGAGUCGACCCCUAAGGCGAGGCCGAAAGGCGUAGUCGAUGGGAAACGGGUUAAUAUUCCCGUACUUGGUGUUACUGCGAAGGGGGGACGGAGAAGGCUAUGUUGGCCGGGCGACGGUUGUCCCGGUUUAAGCGUGUAGGUGUGUGUUCCAGGUAAAUCCGGUUCACUUUAACACUGAGGCGUGACGACGAGGCACUACGGUGCUGAAGCAACAAAUGCCCUGCUUCCAGGAAAAGCCUCUAAGCAUCAGGUAACAUCAAAUCGUACCCCAAACCGACACAGGUGGUCAGGUAGAGAAUACCAAGGCGCUUGAGAGAACUCGGGUGAAGGAACUAGGCAAAAUGGUGCCGUAACUUCGGGAGAAGGCACGCUGACACGUAGGUGAAGUGAUUUACUCAUGGAGCUGAAGUCAGUCGAAGAUACCAGCUGGCUGCAACUGUUUAUUAAAAACACAGCACUGUGCAAACACGAAAGUGGACGUAUACGGUGUGACGCCUGCCCGGUGCCGGAAGGUUAAUUGAUGGGGUCAGCGCAAGCGAAGCUCCUGAUCGAAGCCCCGGUAAACGGCGGCCGUAACUAUAACGGUCCUAAGGUAGCGAAAUUCCUUGUCGGGUAAGUUCCGACCUGCACGAAUGGCGUAAUGAUGGCCAGGCUGUCUCCACCCGAGACUCAGUGAAAUUGAACUCGCUGUGAAGAUGCAGUGUACCCGCGGCAAGACGGAAAGACCCCGUGAACCUUUACUAUAGCUUGACACUGAACAUUGAGCCUUGAUGUGUAGGAUAGGUGGGAGGCUUUGAAGUGUGGACGCCAGUCUGCAUGGAGCCGACCUUGAAAUACCACCCUUUAAUGUUUGAUGUUCUAACGUGGACCCGUUACCCGGGUUGCGGACAGUGUCUGGUGGGUAGUUUGACUGGGGCGGUCUCCUCCUAAAGAGUAACGGAGGAGCACGAAGGUUGGCUAAUCCUGGUCGGACAUCAGGAGGUUAGUGCAAUGGCAUAAGCCAGCUUGACUGCGAGCGUGACGGCGCGAGCAGGUGCGAAAGCAGGUCAUAGUGAUCCGGUGGUUCUGAAUGGAAGGGCCAUCGCUCAACGGAUAAAAGGUACUCCGGGGAUAACAGGCUGAUACCGCCCAAGAGUUCAUAUCGACGGCGGUGUUUGGCACCUCGAUGUCGGCUCAUCACAUCCUGGGGCUGAAGUAGGUCCCAAGGGUAUGGCUGUUCGCCAUUUAAAGUGGUACGCGAGCUGGGUUUAGAACGUCGUGAGACAGUUCGGUCCCUAUCUGCCGUGGGCGCUGGAGAACUGAGGGGGGCUGCUCCUAGUACGAGAGGACCGGAGUGGACGCAUCACUGGUGUUCGGGUUGUCAUGCCAAUGGCACUGCCCGGUAGCUAAAUGCGGAAGAGAUAAGUGCUGAAAGCAUCUAAGCACGAAACUUGCCCCGAGAUGAGUUCUCCCUGAGACUUAGAGUCUCCUGAAGGAACGUUGAAGACGACGACGUUGAUAGGCCGGGUGUGUAAGCGCAGCGAUGCGUUGAGCUAACCGGUACUAAUGAACCGUGAGGCUUAACCUUACAACGCCGAAG
rnacentral:rRNA from 2 species